UUGCUUAUUCUGGCGGCACAUAUACUAAGAUUGGAAUGACAUGGAGAUUAGCAUGGCCUCUGCAUAAAGAUGACACCCAAAGCACCUCGAGAUACUCAAUAAAUAU